UCGACGGGAUUGAGAGCUUGCUCUCAUGAGAGUGGCGCACGGGUGAGUAACGCGUAUGCAACCUACCUUUAACUGAGGGAUAGCCCAUAGAAAUGUGGAUUAAUACCUCAUAGUUCUUUUGAACCGCAUGGUUCGAAAGAUAAAGCUCCGGCGGUUAAAGAUGGGCAUGCGUGACAUUAGCUAGUUGGUGAGGUAACGGCUCACCAAGGCUACGAUGUCUAGGGGUUCUGAGAGGAUGAUCCCCCACACUGGUACUGAGACACGGACCAGACUCCUACGGGAGGCAGCAGUGAGGAAUAUUGGUCAAUGGGCGCAAGCCUGAACCAGCCAUCCCGCGUGAAGGAUGAAGGCCCUAUGGGUCGUAAACUUCUUUUAUACACCAAGAAAAAGCAGGACGUGUCCUGCCCCGACGGUAGUGUAUGAAUAAGCAUCGGCUAACUCCGUGCCAGCAGCCGCGGUAAUACGGAGGAUGCAAGCGUUAUCCGGAUUCAUUGGGUUUAAAGGGUGCGUAGGCGGCUUUUUAAGUCAGUGGUGAAAUCUUGCCGCUUAACGGUAAAAUUGCCAUUGAUACUGAUAAGCUUGAGUACAAUUGAGGUAAGCGGAAUGUGUAGUGUAGCGGUGAAAUGCUUAGAUAUUACACAGAACACCGAUUGCGAAGGCAGCUUACUAAACUGUUACUGACGCUGAUGCACGAAAGCGUGGGGAGCGAACAGGAUUAGAUACCCUGGUAGUCCACGCCGUAAACGAUGAUCACUCGCUGUAUGCGAUACACAGUAUGCGGCCAAGCGAAAGCAUUAAGUGAUCCACCUGGGGAGUACGAUCGCAAGGUUGAAACUCAAAGGAAUUGACGGGG
rnacentral:rRNA from 1 species